AAGCUGCUCCCCUGUCUUGAUGAACAUGUGUAGCCCGAUUGCAGACGUCGCCUCCUCCCCCAACACAGUGCAGCCCACGAAACUCACUGUUCUGCUCCUCGCUCUUUCGCUUUGAGUCCAUCUGGGAAACCGUACCAUGACAGGGCUCCUUAAAUGAGUUUCCUCUUUACAUUAUACUCUUCAAAUCAUUUCAUUUCAGCAGACAUCGCUGAUUGUUCACCCCUUCCUGAGAUGAAUUAAGAACAAAUGGCUGUGGUUUUCCCUAUCAAAACAAACAUACAUAUUAACCAUUUCCUUGUAACUUAAUUGAGAGUC
rnacentral:lncRNA from 1 species